rnacentral:rRNA from 1 species
UACGUAGGGGGCAAGCGUUGUCCGGAUUUAUUGGGCGUAAAGAGCGUGUAGGCGGCCAUGUAGGUCCGUUGUGAAAACUCGAGGCUCAACCCCGGACUUGCAGUGGGUACGGGCAGACUAGAGUGUGGUAGGGGAGACUGGAAUUCCUGGUGUAGCGGUGAAAUGCGCAGAUAUCAGGAGGAACACCGAUGGCGAAGGCAGGUCUCUGGGCCACUACUGACGCUGAGAAGCGAAAGCGUGGGGAGCGAACAGG